UACGUAGGGGGCAAGCGUUGUCCGGAAUCAUUGGGCGUAAAGAGCGUGUAGGCGGCUCGGUAAGUCCGCUCUGAAAGCCCGGGGCUCAACCCCGGGAGGCGGGCGGAUACUGUCGGGCUAGAGUCCGGAAGAGGCGAGUGGAAUUCCUGGUGUAGCGGUGAAAAUGCGCAGAUAUCAGGAGGAACACCAGAGCGGCGAAGGCAGCUCGCUGGGACGGUACUGACGCUG
rnacentral:rRNA from 1 species